rnacentral:rRNA from 1 species
AUUGAACGCUGGCGGCAUGCCUUACACAUGCAAGUCGAACGGCAGCACGGGAGCAAUCCUGGUGGCGAGUGGCGAACGGGUGAGUAAUAUAUCGGAACGUGCCCAGGUCGUGGGGAUAACGUAGCGAAAGCUACGCUAAUACCGCAUACGAUCUAUGGAUGAAAGCGGGGGAUCGCAAGACCUCGCGCGAUUGGAGCGGCCGAUAUCAGAUUAGGUAGUUGGUGAGGUAAAGGCUCACCAAGCCGACGAUCUGUAGCUGGUCUGAGAGGACGACCAGCCACACUGGGACUGAGACACGGCCCAGACUCCUACGGGAGGCAGCAGUGGGGAAUUUUGGACAAUGGGCGCAAGCCUGAUCCAGCAAUGCCGCGUGCAGGAUGAAGGCCUCGGUGUAACUGCUUUGUAC